rnacentral:rRNA from 1 species
CGAGCACGCGCGUGUGGCAUAUCAAUAAGCGGAGGAAAAGAAACUAACAAGGAUCCCCUUAGUAACGGCGAGUGAAGCGGGAAGAGCUCAAAUUUGAAAUCUUCAAGGUUCUACCUUGACGAAUUGUAGUUUAUAGAAGUGUUUUCUGUUAGUGGAGUGGCAAAAGUUCUUUGGAAGUAGGACAUCAUAGAGGGUGAGAAUCCCGUACUUGGUCAUUCCUCCUAGCGUUGUGAUACACUUUCAACGAGUCGGAUUGUUUGGGAAUGCAGUCCAAAAUGGGUGGUAAAUUUCAUCUAAAGCUAAAUAUUGGCGAGAGACCGAUAGCGAACAAGUACCGUGAGGGAAAGAUGAAAAGAACUUUGAAAAGAGAGUUAAACAGUACGUGAAAUUGUCAAAAGGGAAGCGUUUGACACCAGUGUUGUUUUUCCGAAAAUCAAUUACGAAUGUUUUAUUUUUGAGGAGUUAUGACUUCAUCGGCUUGCUUCUUUCUUUACGAAACUUUCUUAAUGCACUUUUCGGUUAACAAGUCAACAUCAAUUUCUUUUGUUGUAAAAGGGUAUGAGGGAGGUGGCUUUCUUUUCGGAGAAAGUGUUUAUAGCCUUGUGCCUCUGCAAUCGGAGAGAUUGAGGUCUGCAGCGUAGAUCCUUCGGGGUUAGAUACGUUUGUGCUAAGUUAUAGCUUUUCAUAGACAACUUGUUGACUAUGUUUAGUCUUGUAGCUUACUCGCUGACGCUAUUUUACCUACGCUUAGGAUGUUGAUGUGAUACUGCGAGCA